rnacentral:rRNA from 1 species
CACAUGGAGAGCUUUCUGUGAAGCCGGGCUGUAAGGCAUCCGGUGGAGAGAUCAGAAGCGAGAAUGUUGACAUGAGUAGCGAUAAAGAGGGUGAGAGACCCUCUCGCCGUAAGUCCAAGGGUUCCUGCUUAAAGCUAAUCUGAGCAGGGUAAGCCGGCCCCUAAGGCGAGGCCGAAAGGCGUAGUCGAUGGGAACCAGGUUAAUAUUCCUGGGCCAGGAGGAAGUGACGGAUCUCGAAGGUAGUUUGCCCUUAUCGGAUUGGGUGGGCUGCUCAGAGGUUCCAGGAAAUAGCCCUCCAUCAGACCGUACCCUAAACCGACACAGGUGGACUGGUAGAGUAUACCAAGGCGCUUGAGAGAACCACGUUAAAGGAACUCGGCAAAAUGCCUCCGUAAGUUCGCGAGAAGGAGGCCCCAUAUCUGGGCAACCAGGUGUGGGGGGCACAAACUAGGGGGUGGCGACUGUUUACUUAAAACACAGGGCUGUGCGAAGCCGUAAGGCGACGUAUACAGUCUGACGCCUGCCCGGUGCUGGAAGGUUAAAAGGAGGGGUGCAAGCUCUGAAUUGAAGCCCCAGUAAACGGCGGCCGUAACUAUAACGGUCCUAAGGUAGCGAAAUUCCUUGUCGGGUAAGUUCCGACCUGCACGAAUGGCGUAACGAUCUCCCCGCUGUCUCUAACGUGGACUCAGCGAAAUUGAACUGUGUGUCAAGAUGCACACUACCCGCGGUUAGACGGAAAGACCCCAUGCACCUUUACUCCAGCUUUGCACUGGUAUCAGGAUUGUGAUGUGCAGGAUAGGUGGUAGGCAUCGAAGCGGGGACGCCAGUUCUCGUGGAGCCUCCCUUGAGAUACCACCCUUCGCCAUCUUGAUAUCUAACCGCGGCCCGUUAUCCUGGUCCGGGACCCUGCAUGGUGGGGAGUUUGACUGGGGCGGUCGCCUCCCAAACAGUAACGGAGGCGCGCGAAGGUAGGCUCAGACCGGUCGGAAAUCGGUCGUUGAGUGCAAUGGCAGAAGCCUGCCUGACUGCAAGUCUGACAAGACGAGCAGAGACGAAAGUCGGUCAUAGUGAUCCGGUGGUCCCAAGUGGGAGGGCCAUCGCUCAACGGAUAAAAGGUACGCUGGGGAUAACAGGCUGAUGAUGCCCAAGAGUCCAUAUCGACGGCAUCGUUUGGCACCUCGAUGUCGGCUCAUCUCAUCCUGGGGCUGGAGCAGGUCCCAAGGGUAUGGCUGUCCGCCAUUUAAAGAGGUACG